UACGUAGGAGGCGAGCGUUGUCCGGAAUUACUGGGCGUAAAGCGCGUGUAGGCGGUGGGACAAGUCUGUUGUGAAAGCGCCUGGCUUAACCGGGCGAGGUCGACGGAAACUGUCCGACUGGAGGACGGUAGAGGGGGGUGGAAUUCCCGGUGUAGCAGUGAAAUGCGUAGAGAUGUGGAGGAACACCGAUGGCGAAGGCAGCCCCCUGGGUCAAGAUUGACGCUCAUGCACGAAAGCGUGGGGAGCAAACAGG
rnacentral:rRNA from 1 species